GGGGCAUUGGGAUCGGUGUUGCCAUAUUGGGCCUGAUUUUCCUGGCCCAAUCUGGCAACAGUGAUUGUGAUGUUAGUGUUAGGUUUCUGAUAGUUGUUUGUAAUUAAUCGUUCAAUAAUUUGUAUCAUGCUAGACGUGGCCAAACAAGGUUUUUAAUGAACGCAGGUUGGAUACGCUGAGGAAUUCACAGUACCACAACUCAAUGGAGUCUUCUCAAAAUAGCAUUGGGUUGUAAAAUAUGAAGAAGAGGGUGAGGAAGAAGAGGAGGGUGCGCCUGAGUAUGAUUCAGCUGCUUCCACUUCAAACCUCUUCUCGCACUAUCAUCCUCUCACCCCGCCGGAGAUCACAGAGCAGGCCAUCUCUUUCCGCUUGAAAGGCGAGAACGACGAAGACCUCUUGUCGAAUGACCUUCCCCCGCCCCACGCCCUGAGGCACGACAUGGUACUGCAGCAGUUCACCGACAUCAUGCUGGCAGACAUGCAGCAGAUCCAGGACCCCCUGCUGCUGAUGAAGCUCAGACGAGAUGUCACCGACCUGGUGUUCAAAGCUGUUGAAGAAGAUGCCAAGAGAAGUCAGAUCGGGAACAGAAAAGAGCUUUAUUGCCAGAUGCUUCCUCGCUUCCAGAUGUCCAGUGAGCCCUGUAGCAGCGGGGCCGGCCCGAGCUCAUAUAUAAAGAACUCUCGGAAGCAAAGGAGGGCCAGUAAGAGUCGGAGGAUGCCAGCCGGGGGGGGAGGAGGAACGGGAGACGAGUGGAGGGCGAGCAUGUGCGAGUUAAAUAGCGCUGCCACCCUUCAGACACACCCGGUUAAGACAGAGACUGAGCCGCUAGAGGAGAUGGAGUUACCGGUGUAUUUCUCCCCCAUCAACUUGGAGGGAACCAACGAAGGUUGAUCAAUUAAAUCAGUUUUUUUUAAUGGUUUGGAAAGAAAAACCUUUAGAAAACAUUUAGGGGUAAAUUAUUUUUGUAGGGCUACCUGCCCAAUAAAGUUUUCCUUCAAUGGUUGCUUUGAACUUAAUUUGUUAAUUUUUUUCUCAUGG
ensembl:lncRNA